GUGCACCAGUCGAGAAUACUUUACAAUGUGCGAAAGCACGAUAAGGGAACUCUGAGUGCCUCCUAAGGAGGCUGUUCAGGUGUCUAAAAGCACCUGAAGGAAGGGCUGGGUAAGACCGGUGCCAGCCGCCGCGGUAACACCGGCAGCCCAAGUGGUAGCCACGUUUAUUGGGCCUAAAGCGUCCGUAGCCGGCUGGGUAAGUUCCUUGGGAAAUUUGGCUGCUUAACAGUCAAGCUUUCAGGGAAUACUGCCCGGCUUGGGACCGGGAGAGGUCAGAGGUACUCCAGGGGUAGGGGUGAAAUCCAUUAAUCCUUGGGGGACCACCGGUAGCGAAGGCGUCUGACCAGACCGGGUCCGACGGUGAGGGACGAAGGCUAGGGGCGCGAACCGGAUUAGAUA
rnacentral:rRNA from 1 species